UUUAAUUUUCAAUUUCAUUGAGAAUUCGUGAGACUUGAAUUUUGCCUUUAAAUUUUAGUACAUAACUACAUUGCUUGUAUAAAGAUUCAAUUUGAAGAGCUCUAUAUAUGGGCUUCAGAUUUGAGUGUGACUAACUUGAAAUGGAUAAUAUACAUGAACAGAAGAUUAUGGAACAGAAUUUGAACCCACCUUGGCUACCUAUCUGUUUAUGCCAUAACAUAAAUAUUGGUGUAAAGACCAUAAUCAUUCAGAAACUCGGACUCCAGCAGAGAAGCGUUGGCAUUAGAUCAUUUGACGCAAGAGAGAUUACUUGUUUAAUGAAUAUUUGAUGCAAGAGACAUUACUGGAAAAUUG
rnacentral:misc_RNA from 1 species